GUAAGCUACUAAGAGCGAAUGGUGGAUGCCUUGACUGGUAGAGGCGAUGAAGGACGUACUAGACUGCGAUAAGCUAGGUGGAGCUGUCAAGAAGCUUUGAUGCCUAGAUUUCCGAAUGGGGCAACCCAGUAUAUAGAGAUAUAUACUACCAUAAUGGAGCGAACGAGGGGAAUUGAAACAUCUUAGUACCCUCAGGAAAAGAAAUCAAACGAGAUUGCGUCAGUAGCGGCGAGCGAAAGCGUAAGAGGGCAAACCCAGUGCUUGCACUGGGGGUUGUAGGACUGCAAUGUGCAAAAGGAAAGGUUAGCAGAACACUCUGGAAAGUGUAGCCAUAGAGGGUGAUAGUCCCGUAUGCAAAAACCUAACCUUAGCUAGCAGUAUCCUGAGUAGGGCGGGACACGAGAAAUCCUGUCUGAAGCUGGGUAGACCACUAUCCAACCCUAAAUACUCCUACCAGAUCGAUAGCGAACAAGUACCGUGAGGGAAAGGUGAAAAGAACGGCGGUGAGCCGAGUGAAAUAGAACCUGAAACCAUUUGCUUACAAUCAUUCAGAGCACUAUGUAGCAAUACAGUGUGAUGGACUGCCUUUUGCAUAAUGAGCCUGCGAGUUGUGGUGUCUGGCAAGGUUAAGCUAACGCGAAGCCGUAGCGAAAGCGAGUCUGAAUAGGGCGCUAAGUCAGAUGCUGCAGACCCGAAACGAAGUGAUCUAUCCAUGAGCAGGUUGAAGCUAGUGUAAGAACUAGUGGAGGACCGAACCCGCUAGCGUUGAAAAGCUAUGGGAUGACUUGUGGAUAGGGGUGAAAGGCCAAUCAAACUUCGUGAUAGCUGGUUCUCUCCGAAAUAUAUUUAGGUAUAGCGUUGUGUCGUAACUAAAGGGGGUAGAGCACUGAAUGGGCUAGGGCAUACACCAAUGUACCAAACCCUAUCAAACUCCGAAUACCUUUAGUGUAAUCACAGCAGUCAGGCGGCGAGUGAUAAAAUCCGUCGUCAAGAGGGAAACAACCCAGACUAACAGCUAAGGUCCCCAAAUCUUACUUAAGUGGAAAACGAUGUGAAGUUACUUAAACAACCAGGAGGUUGGCUUAGAAGCAGCCAUCCUUUAAAGAAAGCGUAAUAGCUCACUGGUCUAGUGAUUUUGCGCGGAAAAUAUAACGGGGCUAAAGUAAGUACCGAAGCUUUAGACUUGCACACAACUUAGAUGAUUUAAAUUUAAAAUAUGAGAAACUAAAUUUAUUUUUAUUUAUUUUUGCUUAUCUUUAUUCAUUUUUAUAGAGUAAAGAUAAAAACAAAAACUUCGUAAAAAUAAUAAAAUAUAGUAAAAAACAAUAAAAAUAUUCUUAGAUUAAAAGAGUUAAGUCGUUUAAGUUGUGUGCAAUGUGGUAGGAGAGCGUUCUAUUUGCGUCGAAGGUAUACCGACAAGGAGUGCUGGAGCGAAUAGAAGUGAGCAUGCAGGCAUGAGUAGCGAUAAUUAAUGUGAGAAUCAUUAACGCCGUAAACCCAAGGUUUCCUACGCGAUGCUCGUCAUCGUAGGGUUAGUCGGGUCCUAAGCUGAGUCCGAAAGGGGUAAGCGAUGGCAAAUAGGUUAAUAUUCCUAUACCAACAUUAGUGUGCGAUGGAAGGACGCUUAGGGCUAAGGGGGCUAGCGGAUGGAAGUGCUAGUCUAAGGUCGUAGGAGGUUAUACAGGCAAAUCCGUAUAACAAUACUCCGAGAACUGAAAGGCUUUUUGAAGUCUUCGGAUGGAAAGAAGAACCCCUGAUGCCGUCGAGCCAAGAAAAGUUUCUAAGUUUAGCUAAUGUUGCCCGUACCGUAAACCGACACAGGUGGGUGGGAUGAGUAUUCUAAGGCGCGUGGAAGAACUCUCUUUAAGGAACUCUGCAAAAUAGCACCGUAUCUUCGGUAUAAGGUGUGCCUCCCUUUGUAUUAGAAUUCACUUCGAAAGCAAAGAAGGUUACAACAAAGAGUCCCUCCCGACUGUUUACCAAAAACACAGCACUCUGCUAACUCGUAAGAGGAUGUAUAGGGUGUGACGCCUGCCCGGUGCUCGAAGGUUAAUUGAUGGGGUUAGCAUUAGCGAAGCUCUUGAUCGAAGCCCGAGUAAACGGCGGCCGUAACUAUAACGGUCCUAAGGUAGCGAAAUUCCUUGUCGGUUAAAUACCGACCUGCAUGAAUGGCGUAACGAGAUGGGAGCUGUCUCAAAGAGGGAUCCAGUGAAAUUGUAGUGGAGGUGAAAAUUCCUCCUACCCGCGGCAAGACGGAAAGACCCCGUGGACCUUUACUACAGCUUGACACUGCUAUUUGGAUAAGAAUGUGCAGGAUAGGUGGGAGGCUUUGAGUAUAUGACGCCAGUUGUAUAUGAGCCAUUGUUGAGAUACCACUCUUUCUUAUUUGGGUAGCUAACCAGCUUGAGUUAUCCUCAAGUGGGACAAUGUCUGGUGGGUAGUUUGACUGGGGCGGUCGCCUCCCAAAUAAUAACGGAGGCUUACAAAGGUUGGCUCAUAGCGGUUGGAAAUCGCUAGUAGAGUAUAAAGGUAUAAGCCAGCUUAACUGCAAGACAUACAAGUCAAGCAGAGACGAAAGUCGGUCUUAGUGAUCCGGUGGUUCUGUGUGGAAGGGCCAUCGCUCAAAGGAUAAAAGGUACCCCGGGGAUAACAGGCUGAUCUCCCCCAAGAGCUCACAUCGACGGGGAGGUUUGGCACCUCGAUGUCGGCUCAUCGCAUCCUGGGGCUGGAGCAGGUCCCAAGGGUAUGGCUGUUCGCCAUUUAAAGCGGUACGCGAGCUGGGUUCAGAACGUCGUGAGACAGUUCGGUCCCUAUCUGCCGUGGGCGUAAGAAGAUUGAAGAGAUUUGACCCUAGUACGAGAGGACCGGGUUGAACAAACCACUGGUGUAGCUGUUGUUCUGCCAAGAGCAUCGCAGCGUAGCUAAGUUUGGAAAGGAUAAACGCUGAAAGCAUCUAAGCGUGAAGCCAACUCUAAGAUGAAUCUUCUCUAAGCUCUCUAGAAGACUACUAGUUUGAUAGGCUGGGUGUGUAAUGGAUGAAAGUCCUUUAGCUGACCAGUACUAAUAGAGCGUUUGGCUUAUCUUAUAAAUA
rnacentral:rRNA from 1 species